UUAACUAUUAUAUAGUACUCAGACAUCACUAAAAACAGAGUUGUGUUUCCUCUGGCAGGCACGCAUAAGCCGGGGCCCAUGGUGUUUCCACGGCCUGCCAAAGCAACGAAGGUAUAAUAUUCAAGGGUGGGAGAUCUACCCGUAAGGGCAUGAACUCUGUAAUGAUCCUUCCGCAGGUUCACCUACGGAAA
rnacentral:misc_RNA from 1 species